rnacentral:rRNA from 1 species
AUCCAGACUCCUACGGGAGGCAGCAGUGGGGAAUAUUGCACAAUGGGGGAAACCCUGAUGCAGCGACGCCGCGUGAGCGAUGAAGUAUUUCGGUAUGUAAAGCUCUAUCAGCAGGGAAGAAAAUGACGGUACCUGACUAGGAAGCCCCGGCUAACUACGUGCCAGCAGCCGCGGUAAUACGUAGGGGGCAAGCGUUAUCCGGAUUUACUGGGUGUAAAGGGAGCGUAGACGGUCCUGCAAGCCAGAUGUGAAAGCCCGGGGCUCAACCCCGGGACUGCAUUUGGAACUGUAAGGCUAGAGUGUCGGAGAGGCAGGCGGAAUUCCUAGUGUAGCGGUGAAAUGCGUAGAUAUUAGGAGGAACACCAGUGGCGAAGGCGGCCUGCUGGACGAUGACUGACGUUGAGGCUCGAAAGCGUGGGGAGCGAACAGGAUUAGAUACCCUAGUAGUU